rnacentral:lncRNA from 1 species
AUGACAUGGGGAACAGCCAGGACCUGGAGAGGGGGAGAAGGGCUGGGAUCUUUGCAGCCAUGUAGCACACUGGCCAAGAAAGUGUGGGGUCCUGAAGGAGAAAUGGCUCUAGAGGAAUCACCGGAGCCACUGGGCACUGCCUCCCAAGGCUUGGAAGACGGCGCAGAGGGUUCCCAGGCUGUGCUACUUUUGUUCCCUUGGAAGAAAGUCAGUAGGCAGAUGCCUCUUCUACCUCCCCCAACACUCUCUUCAACACCAGACUCCCUCUCCAGCUCACUCAGAGGAAGCUGGGAAGGUUCCAGUGGCGAGCUCCUGAGAAGCAGUGGGAAGGGCCAAGGUUACGAAGUUACCCAGGGUGUACUGCUGGAGCCCUGGGAGGAGGGGGUUGGGCAGCCGCUGGCGCUGCCGCUGGUGGUCCCUGUGCUUGAAGUGCCGGUGGUAUCGGAGUCCACGCACCCAAGGCCCAGCACUCAGCAACAUUCUGUGGCCCAGCAAAGGGGUGAGAGAUCAAAGGAGGGGCGUGGGGCAUGGAUUGCUUCUGGGCAGACCCAUGGCAAUGUGACAUGGGGUUUCCCGCCUGAGUGUUACUGACUGUGUGGCUGUGCCUGCCACGCUCAUCUGGGGGGGGGUGUGUGUGUGUCUGUGUAUGGGUGGGUGUCGGGGGGUGCACAGACGCUCUGGGUAUGUAGGGGGAUCAGCACUAGGGGGGCUUCUAGGAUUUGUCUGUGGUCUCAUUUCUGCCUUCCCUGCUCCUGGAGGGGGAGCUGUAACUCAGCCGGGAGGCCACCUAGCUGAUUCCCCUCCCCCCACCCACCAGCCGCUCACUGUGUCACAACAAGGAGCUUUGGCAGAAAGGGAGGGGAGCGUGGGUGCUGCGAAGAGAAAAACACCCCAAAGUUUCAGAAAAAAUGGCAGGAGAGAUGCCAGCACCCAGCAGCAGGAGCCUUCUGCUUCACACAGCCUGCACUGCUGGGCUCGGGGGAGACCACGGUUUCCUUUCCUUCCUUUCCCCCUCCCUGCCCCUUGCUGCGUGAUAUUCAGGAAAAGGAAAUAUUACAGUGAGGGGAGAAAGGGAACAAAGAGAUGCUUUUCAGAGCGGUCAUGGGAUCCUUCCGUAGCCACCAGAAGACAGAGUUCUGGGCUCUGCUUGCUCUGGGCAAAGUGGGGUUGUGUGUGUAUGUGUGUGUGUAUGUGUGUGUAGAAGAGAAAAAAAAGUGAGGGAACGUGUGUGUUAGUGUGUUAGUUUAUGCAUGCCUGUGAGUAAAUGUGUGUUAAUAUGUGUGUCUGUGUGAGUGUGGAUGUGAAUUGGGUGAGUGUGCAUGUGUGUGUGUUGGGAAACAGUAAAGAUACAAGCAGACAGAACAAAAAGCAUCAUAUACAAGGUUGGUUAGAUAGCUGCCCUUAGAUAGUCUACACAUGAAUACUUGAAAACUGUUUUGUGUAGUAGGUUGGCCAUUACCCAAUAUUGCGCGGCAUCAGAAUAAACAUGUAUACAAUGGAAAACCUCAAGAUUGACAAUUUUUCCUCAUGCUUUUGAAAUCAGGGUAUUUCAUUUGGGCAAUGGCUCCUUUUCUGCAGGGUAGAAACCUCAUUUACUCAAAGCUCAGAAUACAGUUUUUGUGAUCAUUUCCCCUAAGUAAGGGCUAGAGUUUCUCUUAGCAUCAUUUGCUUACAAGAUAUUUGAGUUUGUAAACAAGAUCCCAAGGGGAAUAUUUAUCCCACUCAAGAAAACAAGUUACUUUUACCUCUUUGGAGUAUCUGUUUGCAUUCCAACAAUAUGGUACUUAUAAAUCACUCCUUUCUAGCAAUUUAUUAAAGCAACUCUUAGAGGCAAUACUUUUAAAAAAUAGCAAGGCUGUAUUUUUUUUUAAUUUAGAGGCCUACAAUGAGUUUUAACAGCUUAUCUGGCUUAGUGAUGUCUAUUCACUUAUGAUUAUAAUAACUUCUUACAAUUAAUGAAUGCUCUUCAUGCACCAGACAUUGCAUUAAAUGCUUUACAUACAUGCUCUCAUUUGGUCCUGCCAGCCAGGGAAGUACUGUUAUUUUACAAUUAAGGGGUAGAGAAGUAACUUAACCAGGGUCAGGUAGGUAAUAAAUGUCAGGGCAGAACUUAAAUCUGAGUUUUGAGUCCAGAGCCCCAUGCCUUACCCUAUACGCUCAGUUGCAUUUACUUUUCUUUCUUUCUCCUUCCUUCCUUCCUUCCUUCCUUCCUUCCUUCCUUCCUUCCUUCCUUCCUUCCUUCCUUCCUUCUUUCUUCAAUCAGACUCUCACUCUGUCACCCAGGCUGGAAUGCACUGGCAUGAUCUCAGGUCAUGCAACCUCUGCUUCCUGGGUUCAAGCAAUUCUCAAGCCUCAGCCUCCCAUGUAGCUGAGAUUACAGGUGCACGCCACCAUGAUCAGCUAAUUUUUUUGUACUUUUGGUAAAGACCGGGUUUCACCAUGUUGACCAGGCUGUCUCAAACCCCUCACCUCAAAUGAUCCGCCCGCCUUGGCCUCCCAAAAUGCUGGGAUUACAGGCGUGAGCCACCGCGCCCGGCCCAUUUCUUUAUAUUUCACUGCCCAAACAUGUCCAAACAUGCAGCAUGCAGGUGCCUCCAGGUGCCUACAGAGGGCGGUCCCCACAAAAAUCCUGGCUCCUGGUCCAGACCCACUGUUAGGGCCAGUGCCUGGGCAUUAUGGGUCAGUCCAGCUCUGAGAUUUUAAUUCCUGUUGUUGGAAUGAGGGAAUAAAUCCAGCUCUGUUAGGCACUCAAUCUUUUGGGAUUUUUCAGUUUCUCUGGGGCAGCAGAUUUUUUCUUAGGGUCAUCUCUGAGAGAAGUAUGCCUGGAACAUUGGCAUGAGGAAAUCAAUCAAUGCAAAGCAUAUCAAGAGGUAUGUAUUCAGCACCGUGAAAACCAACCCAGCGAGAAUAAGCUCAGAAGGUUGUAGGAAGAGUGUAGGACUUGGAGGAAGAGCAAUGACCCUGCACUCCCUCUAGAAGGGGUGAGGGAGAGGGAGAAGGGAGGAAAAAGAAGGUGAUGAGGAGAGGUUGAGGAAGAGCAUGUGGGGUAUGUGCAGCUGGAGGAAGCAACUGGAUGAGUAAUGGAGAGCAGCUUUAUUACUUUCACUUUUUGAAAUAAGAACCAGCUUAUGAAGGUGGGGAGGGAACAGCCUGGGAAUGAAUUAAUUGAGAAAGGAAAUUAAAGCCAUCAUUUCUGCUCUGCUGACGAGCAGAUGUCAGCAUGCCUCUAGCCUCUUGCUAUAUUCAGUGCUUUUCUAGAGAUAAACAGUGGAGCUCAAAGAGGUUCCAACAGGGCCUGUACUGAACACUUGAAGGCUCUAGGAUAUUUUGGUCAUGAGAAAAGAGGGCUGGAAGUUGAGGACCAGGCUUCUAGGCUCUGAGGAUUUUUUUUUUUUCACAUGAGCUAUUUCACAAUUGCCAGUAGAUUUAACUGCAAAACUGAAGGGAAAUCAGGUAAGGAUUUAUAAAAGAGGAAAUUAAGAUGCUGGUAUUCCUACCAAGAUGACCCUAGGGAGAAAGAAAAGAGUUGGAAGCACCUUUGCCAAGCCACUGAGAAGCUAGCAUUGAGGGCAGAGAGUGCUUGAAGCAACCCAGCCUUAAAGCACUCUCUUAGAGGCAGCCAGGGCAGGGAGCAGCGGGUACAGGCAGUUCCAGCAAUAGCUGGCUGAGGAGGAUAGAGACGGAGGCUGGCUCAGCGACCUAGCCUGGGAAAGCAGCUGCUGUGCUGAAAUGCAUUAGAAGUUCUCUGCCCUGUAUCCCAGCACUUUGGGAGGCCAAGGUGGGAGGAUCACUUGAGCUCCGGAGUUCAAGACCAGCCUGGGCAACAUAGAGAAAUAUAGAUAGACCUCCUCUAUAUUUUUAAAUAUUUUUUAUAUUUAUAUUUAUAUAUUUUUUAUAUUUUUAUAUUUUUAUUUAAAUAUAGAUAGACCUCCUCUAUAUUUUUUAGAAAAUUAAUAAUUUUUUUUUUUUUUUUUUUUAACUUUCUUAGCCCUGAUAUGGAUUAGCACCAAUCCUCCUACCCAUUUUUCAGAGAUACAGCAUGCCAGUUUUUUAU